UCUACUAUCUCGGCCUGACGACACAGCGUGCAGGUUGAUCCGGCGGAUCAGUUUAUGACAAACAUCCGUGGACUGUACAGCGAAGAGCCGAUUGGCUGCCGCGGAAUCGUCCCGGUCGUAAAGUCGUAUCUGAGAGUUCCAAAGUUCACUGUCUGCAGGUGGUUCUGUUAAAUGACAAGCAUGACCUUCUUUCCCCCACUGUUUGCACAAGUCGUUCAACGUGUAUCCUCUGUUCUCCGCGGUUGAUCCUAGACCCAGCUGAGCGAAACGGCGGGAUCGGCUUCAUAACCUGCGCGACAACACGCUGUAAUUGACAAUUAUGAAAUAAGAGAGAGUAAAUAUGAGUGGAGGUGAACGGGGGAAGGUAAAGGACUAAUGUUCAAUCAUCAGCAUUCUUUUUUCCAAUGAAGAUAUUUAAAAUACUCUAUGAAUAAAUAUUUAAACCUGGUGUUCGUAUAUAAAACAGAAUCUUAAUCUUCUGCCUACAUCUUUUUUUUUUUAGUUUGUAUUAGCUAUUUCAUGUUGUGUUACUAUAUUGUGUUGUUUUCUAUUGCUCUAUUUUUGGGGCGGAGUUGUCACAUUUUCCUUAAACGUGCGACUUUUUACAAGUUACCAAUUAAUCUGUCAAAUUAAAAAAUCUAGUAACAGUCACCUUUUAAUUAUUAGGACAAGGUGAAGAGGCCAGUUUAACGCUGAUAUACCAAAGAGAAAAACCAUGUCAUUCUAACUGUACAAAACAAAACCCAACAAGUUUUGCUCUAAAAAUUCAUUAUAAUUUUUAGUGUCCUUUAUUUUAUUGAUUUUUUUUUAAAACUAUUCCAGUCAUAUGUAUAUAAAGAAUCACCACUGUUAGGAAUAGCGCCCAUAGACUCUUACAUAACCUUGUGUCCUUCACCUCACAUUAUCUUUUUCCUGGCGAAUAAUGCUAGAAAAGCAAAGAAUGUGUUUUGUUGAAUCACACGGGAGGAUUCUAUUUUGACAACAAACGAACGUCCUCCAGUUGCUGAGGGAAGUGUGUUGUAUCCGAAAACGCUGAGCCCUGUGAAAUGUCUAAACACAGUUAUCGGCGUCUACGUGUUUGCGAUAACAGAACCCGAAGUGGAGCAAACGCGCCGAUAGCGGUGAGUGGCUGCGAAAUCCACGGCAGAUAGGAUGAGUAAAAAUAUCCCGGGCCGUGACUCCUCGUUUCCAGGCAGCGAGGGAGAUAGGACGAGUUAUUUAUGUGUCCUGCUGGUCAGUGCCCUCAUGGUGGCCUGUACAGUACGCUACAGAAACAGGCGUGUGAUCGUCGAGACGUGUCAGUCACGAUGAGUCAUGUUGGUCAUAUUGUCAACUGUUGAAAACUUACGGUAAAAAUCUUUAAAAAAAAAGAAGAAAUUAUUAGUCAUGAUAAUAAAACAUCCACCUCAGAAGCGACUGAGCCCCGUUCAAAAACUACAAACCUGCGAAAUACAUCGAGCGUUGAACCCAGACAGAGUCAACUUUAAAAAUCAUCGGUAUGAAAGUAGGAUGGAAAACCAGUCGCUGCAAUAUUCAUGACUAAAUCAUAUUUUAUUCAGUGCUUCCAAGCACAAAUAAAUCAAUCUAUCCUGCAGCGACUUCGGGAAACAAACUCAAACUUUGCCGAGAGGCCGAGUUCAGGUCUGGUUCACUCUGUCCGACAAGUUACCACAAAUAUUUCCUGAGAUCCGGAACGUGUCCAUAAGUCCUUUUAGUGAUGAAAAAUGAAAAAGGAUCAACUUAUUUUAACAUGCUCAAAAGAUGAGGGGGUCAACAACAAAAUGUGACCUACUCACCCGCUCACAGGUGAACUGGUGGGACAGAUUAAGUUUCUUGAAUUGAAUUGAAUUAUUGCCCCUUAAAUGUGUCGCAUGAAUUUGGGACAUGCCAACAGUAUGUGACGUGUAAAAGUAGUUGUUUUUUUUUUGCCAUGUAUUUAACAAUUCAACUGUUUCAAUGUUUUACAGUAUCUGGCAAAUGUGGACAACAUUAGCUUAGAAUAACUAAAUAUCUCAAUAUCCCUCUCUGUGAUAUCUGGGACGGGACGAGGUGUGCCCUUCAGGGACCACCGAGACUUUUGUGUGCGAAAAUAAAAACCGGUCCCUGAGGCGACGGUGCUCGAGACCAAGUCGGAGUCACCGCGAUGCCGCGCGGCGUCUCCUGCAGCGAGACAUGGGAUCAUCAUCAUCAUCUCCACGCCGUCUGUAGGCACACGUGUCAAAGUCCCCAGACGCGAACGCUCAUCGCAGGAGCUCGCGUGUGCGGCCCGUCGCCGCCAGAGCGACUCGUGUGCAGAUGCACAGCUGUUCGCCGCCGGAGUCAGAGGAUGAUGUCAUUGUAAUGAGUAGAGGGACUGAAAUAGUCAAGACGAUCUACCUGCCAGUGUUUCCACGAGACAAAGGCUGGGACACAACAGCUGCUAUCCUUACAUCACCGGGCGGCUGACCACCGUGAAGAAGAGGAGUCGGGGGAAACAAAUCCAAGACAAACACGGAGUUCUUGUGUCCACAGCAGGAGCCUCGUCCUCCUCACGAGACGCUGAAGAGUCCGGUCAGGAGGAGGCAGAGCGACGGGGAUCCGAGGGGUCGGGCGUGUUGUUGUGUCAAGCUGUUGGAAAAGCUGAACAAACAAACAGCGUUUGUUCAUCACACGGUGAUAAAGGGACGCGAUGAGAGCCUGAAAACAUUAACGCCGCUUUCGCAGCCGGGUGUUAUGAAAGCGGGGCUUUUGUGUGCGCUCAUGGAAACGGCGACUUUUUUCUGGGGUUCAAGCGCGAGUGAUUCCACCCUCCAACCAAAUAAAUCUCCUGAAUGUGGACAAAACAUGGAAACCGCAUUUCUGCAUCUCUCACACUGUCGGCCGGAGAACCGCAAGGCAUGAAAAAAACAACACAAGGCACAUGAGGCUCCUCGUCUGGCCUCAGACUCAAAUAUGUUCCCUCGCCGCCGACUACAAAAGGAGGUUUUCUCUCUCUCUCUCUCUCUCUCUCUGUUUUGACUGUGACUAUAUCUGAAGUAGAACACGGUGCAACAAUACCCCAGUGUUUGCUUACAGGAGCGACACAGAAACUGCUUUCGAGUGAAGCCAAGUGCGCCCACCCCGAAGAAACUCCCACGGGCGGCGCGUCGCGGGCAGAUAACCUCCCGAGUGCACGAGACCAGAACUGCGCGUGUGUCCGACAAUUCGUUUAGAUUUCACAGAGGGGAAAGGGAAGAAGUGGAAGCGAAGGUGCAGGGGUGUGGUGUUCCUCCUCUUCUUCCAACGGCUGUCUUGAAUAGAAACUGAACAUUCAGAAUAUGUACCUCCACCCUGCUGCUGCUUUUUUCUGGCUGGAAUAUUAACCCUUUUCUCCCCUGUGACUUUUACAUUUACAACCAUUCAUACAGAUUAUAAUAAAAUAAAAGAAAACCUUGUGUCUAUUCCCCUGUCUGGAUUGCGCACUAGAAUACAGACUUGGUAUUAUGGAUUUCUUCCCAUUUCUGGAUGCACACGCCAAGAUUAACAUUCCUUGGCUCCUCAUAAUAAUCCAGGGGUCACGUUUGUUCCCUUCUAACUGGUAAAAGUUGUUUUUUGGGGGGGUCCUUGAUUAUUUUACCUGAAAGUAUCUUGUGGUAGAAUCUCUAUCUCUAUCUAGACUUGGCCAAGCUGACAACAUUGAAUAGUUAAAAGGACUUCAACUGGCAGCAGAAACUGAAUGACAUUGUCGAAGACAGUUUCUAGGGUGGAUGGGUCAAACCUGGCCGAUUCCCUAUCCGCUUUAAAAAAGGUCAGAAGUUGAGCUGUCGGUACACGCCAUCCAAUGUGUGCACAUACAGAUAAUAAAAAAAAGGAAAAAUCUGUUUUAUGAAUCCCUAAUCACAAUGCUAGCUUACUCUGCAGCUGCAUACGUGAAUAAUAAUGUGCAAUAACUGACAUGAGAUCAGUGGAAGCUGAGUGAAGGGGGGCUUGACGAGCAAAGCAUACUCAUCUGUGGCUAGCGAUAGCUAAGUCACUACGCGGCUGGUAGUCAACCGAGUUUGGAACUAGAGAAACUAGCGAUGGAACCAUAAACUCCUCAGGACAAUUCUUACUGACGUUACGAAUCAUGAGAUGUAGAGUCAUUUUCCCAUAGACUUGCAUAGAAACAGACAGUUUUUUGCAACCGGUGGAGUCGCCCUCUGCUGGUCAUUCCAGAGAAUACUGGCUUCAGGCACUUCCACUGUUGACUUCACUCUCCGGAAGCAGGAGACUACGUCCAUUUUCAUAUACCGCCUAUGAUGCCAACAGGCCACAUCAGGUGAUUCUGAGAUUGGAGGAGAGACACCGUCCUCCACUCACGUGAGAGUUUAACGCUUCAUCUGGUCGAGCGCUGCUCGUCCUGACGGCACGCGACCAAAUGGCUCGGGAGGUGAAACAUCCAGCUGCGUGAGGAAACUGUGACUUCACGAUGGUAAAUAAGUC